rnacentral:miRNA from 1 species
AGGACUGACAUGGAUU